CCAUCCGGGAGGACACGUCCGCGGUUUGCUGCAAAAAGCCCCCUUUGGCUGCUGCGUGGAGGGAGGCUCGGGAGAGCUUGGAAUCAGAGGGGACCUGUGGCAUCUGCCCACUACUGGCUGUGGAGCUUGGCCAUCCUGGCAUGUUUUGAUCCUCCCUCUACAACCCUCUGGGGCAGACUGUUUGCUAUGAAGGAUGCAGAGGUGAGUCUCCAACAGCUGAAGUCACA
rnacentral:lncRNA from 1 species